GAAGAAUUAGAAGAAGCUAAGACAGAGGCAGCAAGUAGAAGACCCGUGAUCGUGUAAUUCGCCUCGUGCAAAAAGCGAGAAAGAAAAACCAAGCAUUUCUGCGUGUUAUGUGUUAUUGUUGUGAUCAGUGAUCAGUGGAACGAAACCAAGUGAAAGUGAACACAAGAACGAAAGGAAAGUACAAGUGAAGCAACUCGAGUCCUAUCCUCCAAAAAGAAAAGGGAUAUAAAUCAGAGAUAAUGUCGGACAUUGAGGAUGUUUUCGGUGGCUCCGCCGAGGAGGCCAAGCCCGAACCCGAUGCCCAAAGCAAAAGCAGCGUGGUCACCGAGCAAACCGAGGAGGUGAUUCCCGGCGAGACCGAGAAAAUGGUUACAGAAACCAUCGAUGAGGAUGGUGAUGUUGUGGAGGAGACCACCGAAGUUACCCGCAAAACGGUGAAGCGCACCAUGAAGAUCACUGAGACUUCAGCCACCACAAAGACAACCACGCUCACCACCCCGGCCAAACUGUAUGGCAAGGAUCUGAGUGAGUACGAUGAUGUGGAUGUGGAGAGCCUGCUGGCCCAGCUCUCGCCGGAGGAGAUAACCAUACUGGCCAAAGAAGUGGAUCCCGAUGACAACUUCCUGCCGCCAGACCAGCGCAACAGCUACGAGUGCACCAAGGAAGCCACCGGUCCGCUCAAUCGCAAGCAGCUGAUCGAGCACAUCAACAAGCAGGCCAUCGAGACGCCCGACCAGCCGGAAUUCGAGCCCUAUGUCCAGGGCAAGGUGCGCGGCAAGAAGUGGGUGCCACCGCCGAGGGAUGUGCGCGAGAUCGAGGCCGAGGAACAGAUCGCCAUCGACAUGGGCGAGGAGUACGAGCACGCGCUGAACGAUGCCACGCAGGAGGAGAUCAUCGAUCUGGCCGCCAUCCUGGGCUUCCACUCGAUGAUGAACCAGGACCAGUACCACGCCUCCUUGCUCAACAAGGGCCAGCCGGUGGGCAUGGGCUGGGAUGGCAUCACAAAGUCCACCCAGCAGAAGCUCUUCCCCAUGGAUCCGCCCAACAGCACAGAUGUAGAGGAGUCCAUCAAGCGGGUCAAGGACGAUGACUCCAAGCUGAUUGACCUCAACUUGAACAACAUUAAGAACAUCUCGGACGAGAAGCUCGAGCAACUGUUUGCCGCACUGCCUCAGAACGAACAUCUGGAAGUCCUCUCGCUGACAAAUGUCGGCCUCACCGACAAGACAGCCCUUUUAUUGGCCGAGGCCAUCGAGAAGAGCAAAACCCUGAGAGUAUUAAAUGUCGAGACCAACUUCAUCAGUCCGCCCGUGAUCGUUAAGCUGGUGCAAGCCCUGCUCAAGUGCCACACCAUCGAGGAGUUCAGGGCCUCCAAUCAGCGAUCUGCGGUGCUGGGCAACAAGAUCGAGAUGGAGAUCACCGACCUGGUGGAGAAGAACUCCUCCCUUUUGCGCCUGGGCUUGCACCUGGAGUUCAACGACGCCCGCCACCGAGUGGCCGCUCACCUGCAGCGCAACAUCGACAGAAUAAGAAAAGAUCUUGAGUUGCGACUGCAGUUCAGAUUUUUCAAUAAUCUGCAUAGAAAGUCGACAAGAAUUCAAUAAGCAGACCAGAAAAAAAACAAGCAACUAAAACUAAACCAUUUUUAAAGCGUUUUGUAAUCUAAACCCAAAGAACCGAAGAAAAACAGAAGCACAUAACAACGAAAGAACGUGUAUAAUAUAAUAUAUAUAAAGAUACAGAGAAGAAGGAAGCAGGAGCAGAAGUUUAAGCUAAAGAUAAAGCAGCCGACAAACCGAGCUAGCCGAAAAAAUAUCUAUAUACUCUAGAGACUUUAACUAAGCAAAGCAAACUGAAACCAAAGAAACGAAGUGAAAUAUCAAACUAAAUGCAUAAACCAUAUAUAUAUAUCGAUAAAGAUCGCAGAUCGAACAGGCUCGUGAUCCAUGGUGAUCCAAGGCCUCUUCUAUAACCCAGCAGAAAUCGUUUAGGCGUAUCACGUGUAUAAUUUUCUCUAACGCUUAACACAGUACGUGUGAAACGCCUCAAUCAGCGUAAAUAAAAAGACAAAUUACGAAAUAUAUAGCAGCAACCAAGCAACCAACCAACAACAACAUGCCACCAACCCAAGAACAACAAUCAAGCAGAAAGCCAUCUAUAUGUGUGUGUGUUUUGUUUGUCUGACUCUUGAUUUGAUUAUCAAAUAAUUACCAAAUUAACAAGCAACAAAAACCCAGCAAACAAGAACAACAUCUACAACUACAACAUGAGCAACCACGGCAACAAGAACAACAGAUCUAUAUGUCUAUCCACAAUUCCCCAAACCAACCGAACUCCUCUGUACUCCCCGAAAACCAAUCCACCCAACGAAUCCAACCAACCAGCUGUGAACUAACAACGAAGAAUGAUGUGCGACAUGAAUUGGACGUCAGCGUCGCAUGGGACAUCUGAGCAGGAACUACACCAUUGGCGUCUGGCAGUAGGAUUUAUUGGAGUCUACACUUUGCUACACCGAGAGAAAAAGAGAAAAAUGCAAUAGCCUAAAAAUAGUGUUGUCAUACUUGUUGUUGUUGUUCUCACGCGAAGAAUUGUUCUUAAAUUGUUUUGUUUAAUGUUUGUUGCGUUCUUCACAGAUUCAGAUGAUUUCGGUUUCGAGUUUGUGUUCGGUUCACCAUAUAUAAUCAUAACCAUUUGUUUGUUACGAGUUAGGCGAAUGUUCAUUGUCACACACACACGCAGAUCGAAGAUUAGCUUUCCGUCAGGCAGCUCUAAAAUAAUUCUUUCCUUAAGCGAAAUCUUUACAUUUACGCUGCAGCUAUACACACGUUUACUUUAUUUUAUUUACCUUCCAUUCUGUCCUUCGAUUUUUGUUCAGCCCCUAGAUGGGGUGAUAUUUCACAAUUUUUAGUUUUAGUCGUGUUUAUAUCCACACAUAUGCACACCACCACACACAUGAUACAAACACAUAACAUACAUAAUACUUAUACACACUAUAUAUAUAUGAUACAUAUAUAGCCAUGGUCUCUGAAAACAAUUUACUGCUAUUGAAUUAUAAAAAUGCUUAAACAUAAAUUUAACUUAUGGUUAAACACACAAAACAAAUGAAAAACAAACAAUUGUAUAAUGUAAUGAUAUAUCUUACUUUAUAUGACAUAAUGCAAUGCUUUUAAAAUACAAUUUUUAAAAAUCAUGUAAAAACUUUAAAAUUAAAUAAAAAAAAACUAAAAAAGAUA